rnacentral:rRNA from 1 species
UACGUAGGGGGCUAGCGUUGUCCGGAAUCAUUGGGCGUAAAGAGCGUGUAGGCGGUCCGGUAAGUCCGCUGUGAAAGUCGGGGGCUCAACCCUCGAAUGCCGGUGGAUACUGUCGGGCUAGAGUACGGAAGAGGCGAGUGGAAUUCCUGGUGUAGCGGUGAAAUGCGCAGAUAAUCAGGAGGAACACCUAUUGCGAAGGCAGCUCGCUGGGACGUAACUGACGCUGAGACGCGAAAGCGUGGGGAGCAAACAGGAU